GCAAGGACACCUCCCUCUAGACCAGGUUGCUCAAAGCCCCAUGCAGUCUGGUCUUGAAUGCUUCCAGGAAGGGGGAAGCACUUCCUUUAUUAUCAUAAUACUUUUUUAUUCUACCAUAAAGACUUUGGGCUAAAGCAGAAGUCACAAAUACUGACAACUGAGUUUUGGACGAAUUAUAAGCAGCAGUCAGAUUUCACCUGAUGGCCUAGAGCUGUGAAAGAUCUAUAUAGAGGAAGUCUUAGUCUGGACUAAAUUACAGUGUACAUGGCAGAAUUGUAACUGGGAUUUAGUGCUUUGAAAGUGAUGACUCAAAUGACAAAUUGAUAAUCCACCCUAAGAGAGGAAAAGAACAUGGGAUGUAACAGAGCAACAUGAUGACAUCCAGCUUCCACCUAGUGCCUGAGUAAUGCCUGUACCUCUUCACAGUCAACAAAAAGAUGUGGUUUACUGUCACCCCUGGCUUGAACCAAAGAAUAUAAGUAUGCAAUGGAAAGUGUGAUGGAGAGCGUGAAGAGAAAUGGAAAAGUUUAUCAGCAUGCUGAAGAGUUAAUGCAGCACAAAAAAAAAAAAAAAAAAAAGCUUCAAAGCACAGAAAUUAGUGCUGAGAAAACAAACUGAUACAAAAGUAAAGAGCAAGCUCUCGUGUGCUGCAUAUUGAUCAU